rnacentral:tRNA from 1 species
UCCUCAGUAGCUCAGUGGUAAAGCAGUCGGCUGUUAACCAAUUUGUCGUAGGUUUGAAUCCUACUUGGGGAG